rnacentral:rRNA from 1 species
GGACCUUCGGGCCUCUUGCCAUCGGAUGUGCCCAGAUGGGAUUAGCUAGUAGGUGGGGUAAAGGCUCACCUAGGCGACGAUCCCUAGCUGGUCUGAGAGGAUGACCAGCCACACUGGAACUGAGACACGGUCCAGACUCCUACGGGAGGCAGCAGUGGGGAAUAUUGCACAAUGGGCGCAAGCCUGAUGCAGCCAUGCCGCGUGUAUGAAGAAGGCCUUCGGGUUGUAAAGUACUUUCAGCGGGGAGGAAGGGAGUAAAGUUAAUACCUUUGCUCAUUGACGUUACCCGCAGAAGAAGCACCGGCUAACUCCGUGCCAGCAGCCGCGGUAAUACGGAGGGUGCAAGCGUUAAUCGGAAUUACUGGGCGUAAAGCGCACGCAGGCGGUUUGU